UCUGGGACAAGCCCUGGAAACGGGGUCUAAUACCGGAUACGACACGGGGUCGCAUGACCUCCGUGUGGAAAGCUCCGGCGGUGAAGGAUGAGCCCGCGGCCUAUCAGCUUGUUGGUGGGGUAAUGGCCUACCAAGGCGACGACGGGUAGCCGGCCUGAGAGGGCGACCGGCCACACUGGGACUGAGACACGGCCCAGACUCCUACGGGAGGCAGCAGUGGGGAAUAUUGCACAAUGGGCGAAAGCCUGAUGCAGCGACGCCGCGUGAGGGAUGACGGCCUUCGGGUUGUAAACCUCUUUCAGCAGGGAAGAAGCGAGAGUGACGGUACCUGCAGAAGAAGCGCCGGCUAACUACGUGCCAGCAGCCGCGGUAAUACGUAGGGCGCAAGCGUUGUCCGGAAUUAUUGGGCGUAAAGAGCUCGUAGGCGGCUUGUCACGUCGGAUGUGAAAGCCCGGGGCUUAACCCCGGGUCUGCAUUCGAUACGGGCAGGCUAGAGUUCGGUAGGGGAGAUCGGAAUUCCUGGUGUAGCGGUGAAAUGCGCAGAUAUCACGAGGAACACCGGUGGCGAAAGCGGAUCUCUGGGCCGAUACUGACGCUGAGGAGCGAAAGCGUGGGGAGCGAACAGGAUUAGAUACCCUGGUAGUCCACGCCGUAAACGUUGGGAACUAGGUGUGGGCGACAUUCCACGUCGUCCGUGCCGCAGCUAACGCAUUAAGUUCCCCGCCUGG
rnacentral:rRNA from 1 species